GCCUGGCUGGCUCAGUCAGUUGAGCGUCCGACUUCUGCUCAGGUCACGAUGCUGCUUGCGGUUCGUGGGUUCGAGCCCCGCAUCGGGCU
rnacentral:tRNA from 1 species